UGGGGAAUAUUGCACAAUGGGCGAAAGCCUGAUGCAGCAACGCCGUGUGAGUGAUGACGGUCUUCGGAUUGUAAAGCUCUGUCUUUGGGGACGAUAAUGACGGUACCCAAGGAGGAAGCCACGGCUAACUACGUGCCAGCAGCCGCGGUAAUACGUAGGUGGCAAGCGUUGUCCGGAUUUACUGGGCGUAAAGGGUGCGUAGGCGGACCUUUAAGUGAGAUGUGAAAUCCCCGAGCUUAACUUGGGGGCUGCAUUUCAAACUGGAGGUCUAGAGGGCAGGAGAGGAGAGUGGAAUUCCUAGUGUAGCGGUGAAAUGCGUAGAGAUUAGGAAGAACACCAGUGGCGAAGGCGACUCUCUGGACUGUAACUGACGCUGAGGCACGAAAGCGUGGGGAGC
rnacentral:rRNA from 1 species